rnacentral:rRNA from 1 species
GAGGUUUAUGGUGGAUGCCUAGGAGCUUAUAGAGGCGAAGAAGGCCGUGACAAGCUGCGAAAAGCCGGGGGGAGGAGCACAUAUCCUGUGAUCCCCGGAUUGCCGAAUGGGGUAACCCGGCGGGAGAGAUCCCGUCACUACGAUGCCUGAAUAAAAUAGGGCAGUAGAGUCAAACUGUGUGAAGUGAACCAUCUAAGUAACACGGGAAAAGAAAUCAAGAAGAGGAGCGAUCCUCCGGAGAUUCCGAAAGUAGCGGCGAGCGAAAUCGGAAGAGCCCAAACCGUAUUUAUACGGGGUUGUAGGGCUGCAUGGGGAUGACCCGAAGAGUUUAUAGAAAACAUAUUUUUAGCAGAAGAGUCUGGGAAGGCUCACCUAAGAGGGUGAUAGUCCUGUAAGCGAAAAGAAUAUGUCUCUUUGAUGCAGUUCCUGAGUACGGCGGGGCACGAGAAACCCUGUCGGAAUCCGGGUCGACCACGAUCCAAGGCUAAAUACUCUAAGCUACCGAUAGCGAACAAGUACCGUGAGGGAAAGGCGAAAAGAACCCCGGUGAGGGGAGUGAAAUAGAACCUGAAACCAUAAACUGACAAGAUGUCACGGACGGCAACGUUUGUGGCGUGCCUUUUGUAGAAUGAGCCUGCGAGUUACGUUAUGUUGCGAGGUUAAGUGAUAGUAGUCACGGAGCCUGAGGGAAACCGAGUCUGAUAAGGGCGAUACAGUAGCAUGGCGUAGACCCGAAGCCAAGGUGAUCUAGUCAUGAGCAGGUUGAAGCUCGGGUAACACCGAGUGGAGGACCGAACUAUAAUCUGUUAAAAAAGGUAUGGAUGACUUGUGACUCGGAGUGAAAGGCUAAUCAAACCUGGAAAUAGCUGGCUCUCCCCGAAAUGCCUUUAGGGACAGCCUCAUACAAAACUUACGGAGGUAAAGCACUGGAUGGACUAGGGGGCGUCACAGCCUACCAAACCCAAUCAAACUCUGAAUGCCGUAAAUCAACGUAUGGGAGUGAGACUGCGUGCGACAAGGUUCGUAGUCAAAAGGGAAACAGCCCGGACCAACAACUAAGGCCCCUAAAUACCGCUCAGUGUAAAAUGAAGUGCAAGUGCAAAGACAGCCAGGAGGUUGGCUUAGAAGCAGCCAUUCCUUAAAAGAGUGCGUAAUAGCUCACUGGUCGAGCACUUGUGCGCAGACAAUGUAACGGGGCUCAAGCGGUAUGCCGAAGUUUUGGGAGUGUGGCAUUAGCCAUACUCGGUAGGGGAGCAUUCCAUUAACCGAUGAAGGAAGACUCGUGAGAGCUUGUGGAGGAGAUGGAAGAGAGAAUGCAGGUAUAAGUAACGCAAAGACGGGUGAGAUCCCCGUCCGCCGAAAACAUAAGGUUUCCCGGGUAAAGGCAAUCUGCCCGGGGUAAGUCGGCCCCUAAGACGAGGACGAAAGUCGUAGCCGAUGGGAAACGGGUUCAUAUUCCCGUACCUCUACUAGUUUCGAGGGCAAGACGCAUGAGGUGAAACCCGGCCGGGCGAUGGUCGUCCCGGUCGAAGCAUCAAGCCGUUGAGGAAUGUAGGCAAAUCCGCAUUCUGAGGUAAGAUGUGACAGCUAAUGGAGAGAAAGUCGAAGUGAAGCGGGUGUAAUCAAGGUGCCGAGAAAUACUGUCUAAGGCUAGGCUAGUGGAGACCGUACCGCAAACCGACACAGGUAUGUAGGAUGAGAAAUCUAAGGCGCACGAGAGAACUCGCGUUAAGGAACUCGGCAAAAUGCACACGUAACUUCGGAAGAAGUGUGGCCUACAGCAAUGUAGGCGGCAGAAAGCAGGCCCAGGCGACUGUUUAUCAAAAACACAGCCAUCUGCUUAAUCAGUAAUGAGACGUAUAGGUGGUGACACCUGCCCGGUGCCGGAAGGUUAAGAGGAGAGGUUAGCAGAGCUGCGAAGCUUCCAAUCGAAGCCCCGGUAAACGGCGGCCGUAACUAUAACGGUCCUAAGGUAGCGAAAUUCCUUGUCGGGUAAGUUCCGACCCGCACGAAUGGUGUAACGAUUCUGGGCACUGUCUCAACGCGAGACUCGGUGAAAUUUAUAUACCGGUAAAGAAGCCGGUUACCCACAGUUAGACGGAAAGACCCCGUGAACCUUCACCGUAACUUACUAUUGGGAUUUUAUUUAUCAUGUGUAGAAUAGGCGGGAGCUUUUGAAGCGUGGGCGUCAGCUUGCGUGGAAGCGAAAUGUGAAAUACCACCCUUGAUGAAUGAGAUUUCUAACCCGAUUCCGUGAAGCCGGAAGGGGGACAAUGGUAGGCAGGCGGUUUGACUGGGGCGGUCGCCUCCUAAAAUGUAACGGAGGCGCGCGAAGGUCACCUCACUCUGAUUGGAAACCAGAGCGCGAGUGUAAAGGCACAAGGUGGCUUGACUGCGAGAGUGACAGCUCGAGCAGGUACGAAAGUAGGUCUUAGUGAUCUGGCGGUCGCAAGUGGAAGCGCCGUCACUUAACGGACAAAAGGUACUCCGGGGAUAACAGGCUGAUCUUCCCCAAGAGUUCACAUCGACGGGAAGGUUUGGCACCUCGAUGUCGGCUCAUCGCAUCCUGGGGCUGAAGCAGGUCCCAAGGGUUUGGCUGUUCGCCAAUUAAAGCGGUACGUGAGCUGGGUUCAGAACGUCGCGAGACAGUUCGGUCCCUAUCUGCUGUGGGCGUUGGAUGAUUGAGAGGAGCUGCUUUUAGUACGAGAGGACCGAAGUGGACAAACCUCUGGUGUAUCUGUUAUCCUGCCAAGGGUAAGUGCAGAGUAGCCACGUUUGGAAGGGAUAACCGCUGAAAGCAUCUAAGCGGGAAGCCCACCUCAAGAUUAGUCAUCCCUGAGGGUUUAACCCUCCUAAAGACUCCGGAUAGACUAUCCGGUCGAUAGGUUGUAGGUCUAAGCAUAGUAAUGUGUUCAGCCAAGCAAUACUAAUAAGUCGUGAGGCUUGACCA